GUGGGGAAUCUUGCGCAAUGGGCGAAAGCCUGACGCAGCCAUGCCGCGUGAAUGAUGAAGGUCUUAGGAUUGUAAAAUUCUUUCACCGGGGACGAUAAUGACGGUACCCGGAGAAGAAGCCCCGGCUAACUUCGUGCCAGCAGCCGCUGUAAUACGAAGGGGGCUAGCGUUGCUCGGAAUUACUGGGCGUAAAGGGCGCGUAGGCGGACAGUUUAGUCAGAGGUGAAAGCCCAGGGCUCAACCUUGGAAUUGCCUUUGAUACUGGCUGUCUUGAGUACGGGAGAGGUGAGUGGAACUCCGAGUGUAGAGGUGAAAUUCGUAGAUAUUCGGAAGAACACCAGUGGCGAAGGCGACUCACUGGCCCGUUACUGACGCUGAGGCGCGAAAGCGUGGGGAGCAAACAGGAUUAGAUACCCCAGUAGUCC
rnacentral:rRNA from 1 species